rnacentral:rRNA from 1 species
AGCGAACGCUGGCGGCAGGCCUAACACAUGCAAGUCGAACGAACUCUUCGGAGUUAGUGGCGGACGGGUGAGUAACACGUGGGAACGUGCCUUUUGGUUCGGAAUAACUCAGGGAAACUUGUGCUAAUACCGAAUGUGCCCUUCGGGGGAAAGAUUUAUCGCCAUUAGAGCGGCCCGCGUCUGAUUAGCUAGUUGGUGAGGUAACGGCUCACCAAGGCGACGAUCAGUAGCUGGUCUGAGAGGAUGACCAGCCACACUGGGACUGAGACACGGCCCAGAAUCCUACGGGAGGCAGCAGUGGGGAAUCUUGCGCAAUGGGCGAAAGCCUGACGCAGCCAUGCCGCGUGAAUGAUGAAGGUCUUAGGAUUGUAAAAUUCUUUCACCGGGGACGAUAAUGACGGUACCCGGAGAAGAAGCCCCGGCUAACUUCGUG